rnacentral:rRNA from 1 species
GAUGAACGCUGGCGGCGUGCUUAAUACAUGCAAGUCGAGCGAAGCACUUUAACGGAAUUCUCCGGAAGGAAGGUAAAGUGACUGAGCGGGCGACGGGUGAGUAACGCGUGGGUAACCUGCCUUAUACAGGGGGAUAACAGUUAGAAAUGGCUGCUAAUACCGCAUAAGCGCACAGGGCCGCAUGGCCCGGUGUGAAAAACUCCGGUGGUAUGAGAUGGACCCGCGUCUGAUUAGCUAGUUGGUAAGGUAACGGCUUACCAAGGCGACGAUCAGUAGCCGACCUGAGAGGGUGACCGGCCACAUUGGGGACUGAGACACGGCCCAA